UCUAAUUGUAUGAUAAGUUGGACUCUUUGUAAAACAAAACACUGAAACCUAAACAAAAUAUAUCCACGAUUCCAAACCAACGAUUCUAAAAAAUUUGACAAUUUCCUAAUUCAGCAAAGACGAAACAUUUCGAAUUCGUUGUUGAUUUACAUUGGAGGCUCUUCUCUCUUAGCUAUUCUCAUCAAUUGUUUCGCUUGCAGUGUUGCUCCUGUUGUCAAUUUCAAUAGGAUUCAAGGCUUCAAUUAGAGUUGAGAUCAUUUAAAAUCUGCUCGUUGGAAUAUAUUUUCUUGCUAACAAGUUUUGAGGUAGUGCAGGUUGCGCCUCUUCAGUUCUUGCAUUCACUCCUUGCUUUUCUUGGCGAGUUUAUUACCAGUGUUACAUAGUCUCAAAUCAUCUCGGGAUACUAGUCCAUCAUCAAUGCCAUCUUGGAACUAAAGCACCUGUUAAAGGUUUUGGUAGAUUUUGCAUCAAACUUCAGAUAUUCUUUCAACAAGAGUAGAAGUAGUUGUUCUUUUUAUUUAAUUUGUCAUAUGAAUCAGUUGUUUUUAUUUGGUAAUACAAAUUAUAGCUCAUUCUCUAUAGCUCAUUGGGAA